rnacentral:tmRNA from 1 species
GGGGGCGACCAGGUCUCGACGUGGUCGGUUCUCCGGUCGAGUUGCGAGCCGAGGUCGCCGGUUGGCCUCGUAAAUCAACCGGCAACACUGCAAGUGCGAAGCGUGAUCUCGCACUCGCCGCCUAGCCGAAACUAGGUCUGGCGACGUCCCACCCGGACACGGCCCGAGGCCGGACUGGGGCGCCAACAAUCGGGCUUUGAGCCGAAGGAACGCCGAUCGCCGGAGGCUCGAGAAUCAAGGAUAGGCUGGCCCGUCGGUAGGUCGUCCGCGACCAGCCGCCGGGCGAGAACGCAACGCGGACUACGCUCGUAGAGAUUCGGUCGGUGCGACCGCGGACGCGGGUUCGAUUCCCGCCGCCUCCACUG